CUGAACUGAACCCCAUCUACAUGCAAUUCCUUGAGUCCAAUGUGACGGCUGUGAUGCGGCGGUUUUGCUGGUGGUCGAUGUGGCGGAUUGGACAUGGGUCGGAGCUGAUUCUUCUCAACAUAAGUACUCAAGUUCUGCAGUUUGAGUCGAGCCAGAACGCUGCUUCGGUCUGGUGGUUUCCUCAAACUAUUGACUUCAGCCAUUAAAGAGUUAAUCUUUUCAGUAUCUUCAAUUAUAACAGGAGUCUCUUUAAUAAUUGGAGGUGCUUCUUGAAUGGCC
rnacentral:lncRNA from 1 species